rnacentral:lncRNA from 1 species
GGUGAUGUGGAGCUGGGAUGAGCUGGGAGCUCUGUGGGAUUGGGGGGUGUAGGACUGGGGGCUCCAUGAAGCUCUGUGGGACUGAGAGGGGGGCUUUGUGAGGCUGGAGGAGCUGCCUGGGGCUGAGGGGCUGUGGGCUGGGAGGUGUGUGGGGCUGGUAGGAGCUGAAGCUUUGGGCUUUGGGGGCUGGGAGUUACGGGGAUCUGAGGAAGGUGACAUUGGGGCCCUGCCGUGUCCCCAGGUGUUUCUGGGUGUCCUGGGGGCACACACAGGGUGUGGGGUGAGCAGAGAGCAGGGGGGUGCCAGUGCCAGCCCCAUGCCAGCCCUGUGCCACCACAGGGGGGGUGCCCAGCGAGGCCCGGCAGUGCGACUACACCGGCCUCUACUACUGCUCCAGCUGCCACUGGAACGACCUGGCCGUGGUGCCCGCCCGUGCCAUCCACAACUGGGACUUCGAGCCCCGCAAGGUGCCCCUGGCAUGGGGUGGGGACACCCUGGGGUGUCACCAAAGUCCCUCGGGACAGUGGCCCUGGGUAGAGGCCACCUGGGGGGUCAUGCGCUUGGUCCUGGGGGUCCCUGGGGAGCACGUCCCUUGGUGGGGUCACCUGGGGGGAUCCCAUCCCUGAUCUUGCAUGUCCUUGGGGACCACGGCCUUGUGUAGAUGUCACUUGGGGAACCACAUCCCUGUUCAUGGGGGCCAUGUCCCUGGUUAUGGGGAUCACUGGGUGGAGAUCACUUGAGGGGAAGCCGUGUCCCCAGGGCCGUGUCCCCAGGGCCGUGUCCCUGUGACAGGUCCCUGGCAGGGCUCCGUGGGUGGUGGCAGGGCUGGCAGGUGCGGGGGGUGACGGUGGCCCUGGCAGGUGUCGCGCUGCAGCAUGAGGUACCUGGCACUGAUGGUGUCACGGCCGGUGCUGAAGCUGCGGGAGAUCAACCCACUACUCUUCAACUACGUGGAGGAGCUGGUGGAGAUCCGGAAGCUGCGCCAGGACAUCCUGCUGAUGAAGCCCUACUUCAUCACCUGCAAGGAGGCGAUGGAGGCGCGGCUGCUGCUGCAGGUCAGGCCUGGGGGCCAGGGCCAGGCGUGGCGGUGGCGGUCACACGGCGGUGACGGUCACAUGGUGAUGGCGGUCACACGGCAGUGACGGUCACACGGCGGUGACGGUCACACGGCGGUGGCGGGCACACGGCGAUGGCGGGCACACGGCGAUGGCGGGCACACAGUGGUGACAGUCACACGGCGGUGGCGGGCACACGGCGAUGGCGGGCACAC